rnacentral:rRNA from 1 species
UACGGGGGGGGGUAAGCGUUGUUCGGAAUUACUGGGCGUAAAGGCUCGUAGGCGGCCAACUAAGUCGGACGUGAAAUCCCUCAGCUUAACUGGGGGAACUGCGUCCGAUACUGGAUGGCUUGGAUUUGGGAGAGGGAUGCGGAAUUCCAGGUGUAGCGGUGAAAUGCGUAGAUAUCUGGAGGAACACCGGUGGCGAAGGCGGCGAUCCUGGACCAACAUUGACGCUGAG